UGCCUCCAAAUUCAGCACAAGGCCGCCCCACGUAAACACCGCCACGCCGCCACGUCCCCAGCUGAGGCUUUCCCCGGCGGCCGCUCCUUGCCCACGCCUCCCCCUGUGGCCUUCCCCGGGUGUGAUUUCGUCCCGUACCCUUCCAGGCCUUCACCAGGUGGUGGAAACAAAAUGCGUCAACUAAAGGGAAAGGUAAAAGAAACGGCAAAAGAAAGAAAGGAAAGGAAGAAAGAAUUUAUGGAGAACAAGGAUAAAGCAUUCACCAUUGCCCUGCCAGUGCUGGGAGUCAUCUUCCUCCUCAUUGCCCUCCUGGUGUACUUCAAGACCAGACCAAAAGAUAUGGAGCUCUAAAGCCACCCUUGAGACCAUCCCUCCCCAUCAUGAACGGAGUAAAGGUACCCAUUUCUUGACCAGUCCUAAGGGAGGAUGAGCACCUGGUUGGGCUGUGCACAAACUCUCCAAGCCGGUAUUCAAACCCAGACCCACGGACUCAUAGCCAGGUGUGCUAACCACUUCACCAUGAUGGUGGAUCUGUAUUUUUGUCUGGAACUGUAUCCAAGAUUACUGUGCAGUUAUCAGGGUUUAUCUUUUAUUGCAAGAUGUUUGAAGUUAAUACUAGUUGUUUGUUUUGAGUGUUUGUUUGAAAAAGGAGUGUAGUUAUUACUAAUCAACUUCUCCCCCUCAAGCCCCAACUGAUGAGUAAUGAAAAUCAUUUGUCAUGCACAAGGGAGCUGUGCUUCAUGGCAGACGAUGAUUUUUGUACCAAUGGUGCUGUAAACCUACCCUCCCAUGGUUUGUGUGUUAUGGCACCAUCUGUUUCUUUUCUUCUUACUUUGGUUGUGAAGACUUCAGAAGACAUCAGCUUUCACCAGUUGUCUGUAUACUAAUGCCCAAAGACAUUGUUCACAUGGAUGAUUUUCUUUUAAUAUUUGAACACUUAAUUUUAAUUUGAUUUGAUUUUUAUUUUGUUAAAUAUAUCCAUGUACAUUUUGAUGAAACUAUGAUUGGCUUAAUAACUUGAAACAAGCCUAGUUAAAGAUUUUAUUUAAAUCCAUCUCUUUCAUUGAUAUAUUUUAUCUCAUCUCAUAAGCUAAACAAUAAUAAAAUUCAGAUUAAAAACUAAAUAUUUACAGAUCAACAAAUAUUUUUGUAUACGUUGCAGUCACUCAUAAAGCUGUAUUUUUCAGGGAGGUAAUGAACCUGUCAUUUUUUAUAAAUAUAUUUUCUCAAACAAAA